CAGCAGCCGCGGUAAUACGUAGGGUGCAAGCGUUAAUCGGAAUUACUGGGCGUAAAGCGUGCGCAGGCGGUUCGCUAAGACAGAUGUGAAAUCCCCGGGCUUAACCUGGGAACUGCAUUUGUGACUGGCGGGCUAGAGUAUGGCAGAGGGGGGUAGAAUUCCACGUGUAGCAGUGAAAUGCGUAGAGAUGUGGAGGAAUACCGAUGGCGAAGGCAGCCCCCUGGGCCAAUACUGACGCUCAUGCACGAAAGCGUGGGGAGCAAACAGGAUUAGAUACCCGUGUAGUCCCUGUCUCUUAUAC
rnacentral:rRNA from 1 species